GAUGAACGCUGGCGGCGUGCCUAAUACAUGCAAGUCGAGCGAACAGACGAGGAGCUUGCUCCUCUGACGUUAGCGGCGGACGGGUGAGUAACACGUGGAUAACCUACCUAUAAGACUGGGAUAACUUCGGGAAACCGGAGCUAAUACCGGAUAACAUGUUGAACCGCAUGGUUCAACAGUGAAAGACGGUCUUGCUGUCACUUAUAGAUGGAUCCGCGCCGCAUUAGCUAGUUGGUAAGGUAACGGCUUACCAAGGCAACGAUGCGUAGCCGACCUGAGAGGUGGAUGGGCCACCCGGGAACUGGGACACGGUCCAGACUCCUACGGGAGGCAGCAGUAGGGAAUCUUCCGCAAUGGGCGAAAGCCUGACGGAGCAACGCCGCGUGAGUGAAGAAGGUCUUCGGAUCGUAAAACUCUGUUAUUAGGGAAGAACAAAUGUGUAAGUAACUAUGCACGUCUUGACGGUACCUAAUCAGAAAGCCACGGCUAACUACGUG
rnacentral:rRNA from 1 species